UGGGCAGGUUGAAGGUUGGGUAACACUAACUGGAGGACCGAACCGACUAAUGUUGAAAAAUUAGCGGAUGACCUGUGGCUGGGGGUGAAAGGCCAAUCAAACCGGGAGAUAGCUGGUUCUCCCCGAAAGCUAUUUAGGUAGCGCCUCGUGAAUUCAUCUCCGGGGGUAGAGCACUGUUUCGGCUAGGGGGCCAUCCCGGCUUACCAACCCGAUGCAAACUGCGAAUACCGGAGAAUGUUAUCACGGGAGACACACGGCGGGUGCUAACGUCCGUCGUGAAGAGGGAAACAACCCAGACCGCCAGCUAAGGUCCCAAAGUCAUGGUUAAGUGGGAAACGAUGUGGGAAGGCCCAGACAGCCAGGAUGUUGGCUUAGAAGCAGCCAUCAUUUAAAGAAAGCGUAAUAGCUCACUGGUCGAGUCGGCCUGCGCGGAAGAUGUAACGGGGCUAAACCAUGCACCGAAGCUGCGGCAGCGACACU
rnacentral:rRNA from 1 species